rnacentral:misc_RNA from 1 species
AAGAUCAAUGUGCUCCUGGAUACCAAAUCCAAAGCAACCGGUAUCACUAAAGUUCCUCCUUAAAAGUUCGUAUUCCUUGACCUUCAACCCGCUCUCAAGCAGCUGCAUGGCCUUGUCUCCCCUCACGGUCACAUAGCACGCAAUCUUUUCAUUACGCCUGAUCCCGAAAGAUCUAACAGUGUACCUAGCCUUAGAGAAGACUGGGGCCUGACCACUGAGUUGCUCAAGAACCUUGGCAGCACGGGUGAGACGAUCGCCACUUUCGCCGACGGAGAUGUUAAGCACGAGUUUCUGUACUUUUAUCUCUCGCAUAGGAUUUGAGAGCUUCUUCUCCGAAGCCAUUG